rnacentral:hammerhead_ribozyme from 1 species
GUACUACUGAAGAGUCCCAUACUAGGACGAAACGGCCGUCUAGUGA